rnacentral:rRNA from 1 species
UACGUAGGGUGCAAGCGUUACUCGGAAUCACUGGGCGUAAAGGGUGCGUAGGCGGCUCAUUAAGUUGGAUGUGAAAGCCCUCGGCUCAACCGAGGAACUGCGUCCAAAACUGGCGAGCUCGAGGAUGGUAGGGGAUAGUGGAACUCCAGGUGGAGCGGUGAAAUGCGUAGAGAUCUGGAGGAACGCCGGUGGCGAAAGCGACUAUCUGGGCCAUUCCUGACGCUGAGGCACGAAAGCCAGGGGAGCAAAC